CCCAGAGAACCUCUGGGGGGCUUCCCAGUAUGUACUGCUAGGGCUAGGAAGCCCUUCAACGGCGGUAGACAGGGUCAGGCGCGCGCUGGGAGGGUGCGUGGGCAGGCCCGUGCCGAGGCCAGUGGGCAACGCCACGCGCCGCCUCGCCAUUUGCCGCCGGAAGCUGAAGCCCUCCGCCCCGCCCAUUGCGGGGGAGAUGUUAACGACCAACAUCUUCGCGCGAGGCCACAAGCCUGGCGUCGGUGGAGAGGGGCUUUGCGCAGUUUCGGGUGGGCCAGAUGGGCCGGAGGUGCAGCCAGGAACGGACAGAUGUCCGUCUCUUAAGUCUUAGGCUUUAAUCGUGAAGUUGAUCCCUGGUUCAUUGUGAUCCUUCUCACGCUGUCCAUUUGACAGAAAAAGAAACCCGAGAAAGGAAUGUACUUGUCUGAAGUCCCACAAUCUGUUAGUGGCACAGUCAGGACUAGAGAAUUUAGCUCCUGAAGCCGAGAUCAGUGCUCUUUCUGCCACAUCAGUCUGAAAACUUUGAGUUUUGCAGUGUUUUGGGGAAUAUGCUCCCAUGAAAUAAUGAACAGGAAAAACCUAAAGAAGCCUCACAUUUUCUGCUAGCGAGAAAAGCCAAAAUGUCUUGCACAGAUUCUCUAUUUGCAGUGAAUAAAAAAGGAUUUAAUUUUAGUGAUGGGGAUUAACUGCCCGUGAAUCACCACCGUACACAAAACUGAAACCUUUGACAAUACAAAGGGAAUUGCGGGAGCUUCAGGAAGAGAAGGUAGAGCUGCAGAAGAUCUGCCAGGAGCAGGAAAAAGCCCUCCAGGAAAUGGGCCUGCACCUCAGCCAGUCCAAACUGAAGAUGGAAGAUACAAAAGAAGUGAACUGGGCACUGAAGCACCACUGCCAGAACUGUGGCCACAUCUUCUGCAACACCUGCUCCAGCAAUGAGCUGGCCCUGCCCUACUACCCCAAGCCAGUGCGAGUGUGCGACAGCUGCCACACCCUGCUCCUGUAGCGCUGCUCCUCCACAGCCUUCUGAGCGUCCAUCCUCAGGAGCACAGCCUCACGGACAGUGCCAAGCCCUGUGGGUCUCCAGGCGCCAACCAGGGGCUUGGGAAAUGUGUUCCUUCCCAAGAGAAUCAAAGGAAAGAAUCAAAUUUCUUGCCCGGCCACUGGCACUCCAGAAGAUAGCGUGCGGGAACCAGAAGCUCUCACCUUUCCGUGAUUCAUUCAGAAUUAACUCCUCUGGAUGGAAACUUCUGUCUUGGUUACAUCACGGCUCUGGUUCAGAUAUAACUUCAUGAUUUUGCUACUAUCAUUUUUCACUUUUCAAAUAAUUUAACCUAUUUUACAGCAAUUCAGUUCUGCUAGUGAGUAGUUUUCCUCUCCCACCUACCUUCUAAAAACUUGAUUUGUGCACAGCGUUUGACACACAUGGGGUCUGUCAGUGUGCCUUCUCUGCUUCAGUCAAGAGAUCGCCAUUUCAUGCCCUUGUGACUACCUAUCAUUGGCCCUGCAAUAAAAUCAUUUAUUUUUCACUCUGG